rnacentral:rRNA from 1 species
UGGGGAAUAUUGGACAAUGGGGGCAACCCUGAUCCAGCAAUGCCGCGUGUGUGAAGAAGGCCUGCGGGUUGUAAAGCACUUUAGUGGGGGAGGAAACGGAGGAUUCGAAUGGAGUCUUUCGAUGACGUUACCCCAAGAAUAAGCACCGGCUAACUCUGUGCCAGCAGCCGCGGUAAUACAGAGGGUGCGAGCGUUAAUCGGAAUUACUGGGCGUAAAGCGCGCGUAGGUGGUUCGUUAAGUUGGAUGUGAAAUCCCCGGGCUGAACCUGGGAACUGCAUCCAAAACUGGCGAGCUAGAGUAGGGCAGAGGGUGGUGGAAUUUCCUGUGUAGCGGUGAAAUGCGUAGAUAUAGGAAGGAACACCAGUGGCGAAGGCGACCACCUGGGCUCAUACUGACACUGAGGUGCGAAAGCGUGGGGAGCAAAC